rnacentral:rRNA from 1 species
UGCAGUCGAACGGUAACAGGAAGCAGCUUGCUGCUUCGCUGACGAGUGGCGGAGGGGUGAGUAAUGUCUGGGAAACUGCCUGAUGGAGGGGGAUAACUAUUGGAAACGGUAGCUAAUACCGCAUAACGUCGCAAGACCAAAGAGGGGGACCUUCGGGCCUCUUGCCAUCGGAUGUGCCCAGAUGGGAUUAGCUAGUAGGUGGGGUAACGGCUCACCUAGGCGACGAUCCCUAGCUGGUCUGAGAGGAUGACCAGCCACACUGGAACUGAGACACGGUCCAGACUCCUACGGGAGGCAGCAGUGGGGAAUAUUGCACAAUGGGCGCAAGCCUGAUGCAGCCAUGCCGCGUGUAUGAAGAAGGCCUUCGGGUUGUAAAGUACUUUCAGCGGGGAGGAAGGGAGUAAAGUUAAUACCUUUGCUCAUUGACGUUACCCGCAGAAGAAGCACCGGCUAACUCCGUGCCAGCAGCCGCGGUAAUACGGAGGGUGCAAGCGUUAAUCGGAAUUACUGGGCGUAAAGCGCACGCAGGCGGUUUGUUAAGUCAGAUGUGAAAUCCCCGGGCUCAACCUGGGAACUGCAUCUGAUACUGGCAAGCUUGAGUCUCGUAGAGGGGGGUAGAAUUCCAGGUGUAGCGGUGAAAUGCGUANAGAUCUGGAGGAAUACCGGUGGCGAAGGCGGCCCCCUGGACGAAGACUGACGCUCAGGUGCGAAAGCGUGGGGAGCAAACAGGAUUA